CUAAGAACACAAGUUUCAAAAGGUUAUACAUAUUAAUGGACUUAAGUGUACAGAGGACUUCUGAGAAAUCAUCUAUAAAGCCACUCUCAGUCUAUUCGGCAAAGAUGCAGACCUUGAGGAAGGCUGACAUAUGGAAGCUGUUCGCAUGAGAUUAAAAGCUGCCAACAAUCUUCAAUCAUUACUCCCAGUAAGUCCUGACAAGUAAUGGGAUGAUCAGCUGGGUUGGGCUGCCUGGGCACAACCAGGUACACUCUCAGAGAGGGAGCUGCUGCCACAUGCAUUCUCCAGAGGCCCAAGAGGACUGUCAGCUGAAGCCUGAGCUCCUCCACUGGACUGAAGAUAGGCGGACAAUCCUGAAAGAUAGAAACCACAUCGUAGAAUGAAGUGAAUUCACAGAAGAUCUGGAAUGUACGAUGGGGCAAUGGAAUACCAGAUUCUGACAACUUCUUUUUGAAAUAGCUGACCAAAUUAGCCAGCAGAGGUUAGAUAUUGAAAAUACUCACUACUGGUUAGAGUACUCGUGGGAGCUUCACAGCACUGGUAUGCGUGAAAGCUGGUACAUUUUUGGAAAAGCAAUUGGGUAAUAUGCUGCAUCUCAAUAACUGCAAAGAUAAAGAUUUUGCAUGUUUUGAUAAAUGUUGAUUAUGUGCUGAUACAUACGGGGAAUUCAUUAUAUUAGUCUAUUUGGGGAUAUAAUUGGAAUUUUUCAUAAAAUCUCAGGAAAUGUUUAAAGGAUUUGGCUCAGGAAUUCUAAUUUUAAUGAUCUAUUUUAGGGAAAUAUAGAUAAAAGAUUAAUGACCAUUUUUUAUAAAGUAUUGAAAAAUUGGAAACAGUCUAGUUUCCAACAACAGGGGAAUGGGUGAAUAAAUUAUGCUAUAUCUAUCUACACAGUAAAAUGCAAAGGAGCCAUUAAAAUCAAUGUUUUGAAAUAUAUUUAACAAAAA